AAUGAUUUCAGAUUUUACUGUGCGAGUAGUCGGUGUGAAAAGGAUGAGACAAUACAACAGAAAUUAAAGAAAGCCAUUUAGGUUUGGAACAACAUGAAGACAUUUUGGCUCAACUGCCGUUUGAGAUCCCACAACGUGCUUUUAUGCGCGAGGAACAACACAAGCACUGUGCAUUUGCAUUGCAGCGUGCUAUAUUCCUCGUGGGAUUAAUAAAGUGUCUGUCAUGUUAGAAGUGUAACUCACCGAUUUGGACACUGCUGGGAAAAGCCCCUUCACUGAGUCCCCACAGCAGCGGAAUCAACACCAGGAUCCGC